rnacentral:rRNA from 1 species
GACGAACGCUGGCGGCGUGCUUAACACAUGCAAGUCGAACGGAAAGGCCCCUUUGGGGGUACUCGAGUGGCGAACGGGUGAGUAACACGUGAGUAACCUGCCCUUGACUUCGGGAUAACUUCAGGAAACUGGGGCUAAUACCGGAUAGGAAUCCUUGCUGCAUGGUGGGGGUUGGAAAGCUUCGGCGGUUUUGGAUGGACUCGCGGCUUAUCAGCUUGUUGGUGGGGUAGUGGCUUACCAAGGCUUUGACGGGUAGCCGGCCUGAGAGGGCGACCGGCCACAUUGGGACUGAGAUACGGCCCAGACUCCUACGGGAGGCAGCAGUGGGGAAUAUUGCACAAUGGGCGGAAGCCCGAUGCAGCAACGCCGCGGGCGGGAUGACGGCCUUCGGGUUGUAAACCGCUUUCAGCAGGGGCGAAGCUUGUGGUGACGGUACCUGCAGAAGAAGCACCGGCUAACUACGUG